AUACGGAGGAUCCGAGCGUUAUCCGGAUUUAUUGGGUUUAAAGGGUGCGCAGGCGGCCAUUUAAGUCAGCGGUUAAAUCGUGGGGCUCAACCCCAUUCUGCCGUUGAUACUGGGUGGCUUGAUUGCGGUCGAGGUUGGCGGAAUUCGUUGUGUAGCGGUGAAAUGCAUAGAUAUGACGAAGAACACCGAUUGCGUAGGCAGCUGACCAGACCGCAAAUGACGCUCAUGCACGAAAGUGCGGGGAUCGAACAGUAUUAGAUACCCUGGUAGGCCGCACAGUAAACGAUGAAUACUUGUUUUCGGCGAUAUAAUGUCGGAGGCAAAGCGAAAGCGAUAAGUAUUCCACCUGGGGAGUACGCCGGCAACGGUGAAACUCAAAGGAAUUGACGGGG
rnacentral:rRNA from 1 species